ACGCUCGACACCUACGGGAGGCAGCAGUGGGGAAUAUUGCACAAUGGGGGAAACCCGUGAUGCAGCGACGCCGCGUGAGCGAAGAAGUAUUUCGGUAUGUAAAGCUCUAUCAGCAGGGAAGAAAAUGACGGUACCUGACUAAGAAGCACCGGCUAAAUACGUGCCAGAAGCCGCGGUAAUCUGAGCGGGCUGGCAAGGC
rnacentral:rRNA from 1 species